rnacentral:rRNA from 1 species
AGACGUAGGGGGCGAGCGUUGUCCGGAAUUACUGGGCGUAAAGGGUGCGUAGGCGGUGAGUCAGGUCUAAUGUGAAAUCCCCGUGCUUAACAUGGGGAUUGCAAUAGAAACUGAUUUGCUAGAGUGCAGGAGAGGUAAGCGGAAUUCCUAGUGUAGCGGUGAAAUGCAUAGAUAUUAGGAGGAACACCAGUGGCGAAGGCGGCUUACUGGACUGUAACUGACGCUGAAGCACGAAAGCGUGGGGAGCGAACAGGAUUAGAUACCCUGGUAGUCCACGCCGUAAACGAUGGAUACUAGGUGUAGGGCCGAAAAGGUUCUGUGCCGUAGUAAACGCAAUAAGUAUCCCGCCUGGGGAGUACGACCGCAAGGUUGA